rnacentral:rRNA from 1 species
GAUGAACGCUGGCGGCGUGCCUAAUACAUGCAAGUCGAGCGAACAGACGAGGAGCUUGCUCCUCUGACGUUAGCGGCGGACGGGUGAGUAACACGUGGAUAACCUACCUAUAAGACUGGGAUAACUUCGGGAAACCGGAGCUAAUACCGGAUAAUAUAUUGAACCGCAUGGUUGAAUAGUGAAAGACGGUUUUGCUGUCACUUAUAGAUGGAUCCGCGCCGCAUUAGCUAGUUGGUAAGGUAACGGCUUACCAAGGCAACGAUGCGUAGCCGACCUGAGAGGGUGAUCGGCCACACUGGAACUGAGACACGGUCCAGACUCCUACGGGAGGCAGCAGUAGGGAAUCUUCCGCAAUGGGCGAAAGCCUGACGGAGCAACGCCGCGUGAGUGAUGAAGGUCUUCGGAUCGUAAAACUCUGUUAUUAGGGAAGAACAAAUGUGUAAGUAACUAUGCACGUCUUGACGGUACCUAAUCAGAAAGCCACGGCUAACUACGUG